rnacentral:rRNA from 1 species
UCCACGCCCUAAACGAUGAAUGCUAGUCGUUGUGAUGCUAGUCAUUGCAGUGAUGCAGCUAACGCAAUAAGCAUUCCGCCUGGGGAGUACGGUCGCAAGAUUAAAACUCAAAGGAAUAGACGGGGACCCGCACAAGCGGUGGAGCAUGUGGUUUAAUUCGAAGAUACGCGAAGAACCUUACCUGGGCUUGACAUCCCCGAGGAUCUUUCAGAGAUGAGAGAGUGCUUACG